rnacentral:rRNA from 1 species
CAAUUGGAGAGUUUGAUCCUGGCUCAGAACGAACGCUGGCGGCGUGCCUAACACAUGCAAGUCGAGCGCGAAUAGGGGC